CUAUCUGGCACACUAUUGACGCUCUGGCGCGAAAGCGUGGGGAUCAAACAGGAUUAGAUACCCUGGUAGUCCACGCUGUAAACGAUGAGUGCUAGCCGUUGGAAUCUUAGAUUUCAGUGGCGCAGCUAACGCAUUAAGCACUCCGCCUGGGGAGUACGGUCGCAAGAUUAAAACUCAAAGGAAUUGACGGGGACCCGCACAAGCGGUGGAGCAUGUGGUUUAAUUCGAGGCAACGCGAAGAACCUUACCAGGCCUUGACUUGGGUAGUUUGGGGUAGAGAGAUUUACUCCUUCAGUUUGGCUGGCUACCACACAGGUGCUGCAUGGCUGUCGUCAGCUCGUGUCGUGAGAUGUUGGGUUAAGUCCCGCAACGAGCGCAACCCUCGUCCUUAGUUGCCAACACGUUAUGGUGGGAACUCUAAGGAAACUGCCGGUGAUAAGCCGGAGGAAGGUGGGGAUGACGUCAAGUCUUCAUGGCCCUUACGGCCUGGGCUACACACGUGCUACAAUGGCGGUGACAAUGGGAUGCUACCUUGCAAGAGGAUGCUAAUCUCCAAAAACCGUCUCAGUUCGGAUUGCACUCUGCAACUCGAGUGCAUGAAGCUGGAAUCGCUAGUAAUCGUGGAUCAGCAUGCCACGGUGAAUACGUUCCCGGGUCUUGUACACACCGCCCGUCACACCAUGGGAAUUGGCUCUACCUUAAGCUGCCGUGCCAACCGCAAGGGGGCAGGCAACCACGGUCGGGUCAGUGACUGGGGUGAAGUCGUAAC
rnacentral:rRNA from 1 species